rnacentral:rRNA from 1 species
AUUGAACGCUGGCGGCAGGCCUAACACAUGCAAGUCGAACGAGUGGCGGACGGGUGAGUAAUGUCUGGGAAACUGACCGAUGGAGGGGGAUAACUACUGGAAACGGUAGCUAAUACCGCAUACCAUCUGAUGUGCCCAGGUGGGAUUAGCGAGUUGGUGGGGUAACGGCUAACCUAGGCGACGAUCCCUAGCUGGUCUGAGAGUAUGAACAGCCACACUGGAACUGAGACACGGUCCAGACUCCUACGGGAGGCAGCAGUGGGGAAUAUUGCACAAUGGGCGCAAGCCUGAUGCAGCCAUGCCGCGUGUAUGAAGAAGGCCUUCGGGUUGUAAAGUACUGUCAGCGAGGAGGCGUUACUCGCAGAAGAAGCACCGGCUAACUCCGUUCCAGCAGCCGCGGUAAUUC